rfam:Triticum aestivum genome assembly, contig: Triticum_aestivum_CS42_TGACv1_scaffold_668740_T_1DL-0.067793_3DL-0.046392
UGGUGGCACCAACCGGGGCUAAAGGGGGGCAUUGGUUCCGGUUGGUGUCACGAACCGGUACCAAAGCACCCCUUUAGUCCCGGUUGGUGCCACCAA